UGGGGAAUAUUGGACAAUGGGCGAAAGCCUGAUCCAGCAACGCCGCGUGAAUGAUAAGGCCUUAGGGUUGUAAAGUUCUUUUAGUAGGGAAGAUAAUGACGGUACCUACAGAAAAAGCCCCGGCUAACUUCGUGCCAGCAGCCGCGGUAAUACGAAGGGGGCUAGCGUUACUCGGAAUUAUUGGGCGUAAAGCGUGCGUAGGCGGUGUGGUAAGUUAGGAGUGAAAUCCUUGAGCUCAACUCAAGAACUGCUCUUAAUACUGCCACACUUGAGUUCCAAAGGGGAUGGCGGAAUUCCUAGUGUAGAGGUGAAAUUCGUAGAUAUUAGGAGGAACACCAGUGGCGAAAGCGGCCAUCUGGUUGGAAACUGACGCUGUUGCACGAAAGCGUGGGGAGCAAAC
rnacentral:rRNA from 1 species